rnacentral:rRNA from 1 species
AUUGAACGCUGGCGGCAUGCCUUACACAUGCAAGUCGAACGGCAGCGCGGGAGCAAUCCUGGCGGCGAGUGGCGAACGGGCGAGUAAUAUAUCGGAACGUGCCCAGUAGUGGGGGAUAGCCCGGCGAAAGCCGGAUUAAUACCGCAUACGACCUGAGGGUGAAAGGGGGGGAUCGCAAGACCUCUCGCUAUUGGAGCGGCCGAUAUCAGAUUAGGUAGUUGGUGGGGUAAAGGCCUACCAAGCCUGCGAUCUGUAGUCGGUCUGAGAGGACGACCAGCCACACUGGGACUGAGACACGGCCCAGACUCCUACGGGAGGCAGCAGUGGGGAAGUUUGGACAAUGGGCGCAAGCCUGAUCCAGCAAUGCCGCGUGCAGGAAGAAGGCCUUCGGGUUGUAAACUGCUUUUGUCAGGGAAGAAAUCCUCUAGGCUAAUACCUUGGGGGGAUGACGGUACCUGAAGAAUAAGCACCGGCUAACUACGUGCCAGCCGCCGCGGUAA